AUGAUUUCUCUGCCUUUUGGCUAAGAGCAAGUGUAGUAUCUGUUCUUGUCAGAGAGUAAAUUUCCACAUAAUCUUCAGUGAGUGGGAGUGGAAGUCUCAUAUAUUUGUUUGGAGAUCUUUUCAGUGCUAAGGCAACUCCCUGUCUGUCCAUUUCUAGAUUUCCACUCACCCUUUGUUUUGACUUCACUUAGUUUAUAUUUUGAGAAUAGAUA
ensembl:snRNA U2 U2 spliceosomal RNA